rnacentral:rRNA from 1 species
CCCAUUAGUACGGAGGGAUCAUUA